GAAACUUGGGCUAAUACCGCAUACGUUCACAGCUCUGCGGGGCUGUGAGGAAAGCUAGCCUAUUCUUGAAAGCUAGCGCUCUUGGAGGGGUCCGCGCCCGAUUAGCUAGUUGGUGGGGUAACGGCCCACCAAGGCUGCGAUCGGUAGCCGGCCUGAGAGGGCGAUCGGCCACACUGGGACUGAGACACGGCCCAGACUCCUACGGGAGGCAGCAGUGGGGAAUAUUGGACAAUGGGCGAAAGCCUGAUCCAGCAACGCCGCGUGGAGGACGAAGGCCUUCGGGUCGUAAACUCCUGUCAGUUGGGACGAAAAGUCGUCGGUCAAUAUCCGGCGAUUCUGACGGUACCAGCAGAGGAAGCCCCGGCUAACUCCGUGCCAGCAGCCGCGGUAAUACGAAGGGGGCUAGCGUUAUUCGGAAUUAUUGGGCGUAAAGGGCGCGUAGGCGGCUUGGUAGGUCAAAGGUGAAAUCCCUCAGCUCAACUGAGGAACUGCCUUUGAAACCACCUGGCUCGAGGCUGGGANGGGGUAGCGGAAUUCCCGGUGUAGCGGUGAAAUGCGUA
rnacentral:rRNA from 1 species